rnacentral:rRNA from 1 species
UGCGUAGGUGGCCAGGUAAGUUUGGUGUGAAAGCUCGGAGCUUAACUCCGAAAUGUCAUUGAAUACUAUCUGGCUGGAGGGUCGGAGGGGAGACUGGAAUUCUCGGUGUAGCAGUGAAAUGCGUAGAUAUCGAGAGGAACACCAGUGGCGAAGGCGAGUCUCUGGACGACUCCUGACACUGAGGACAAAGCCGGGGAGCGAAACA